rnacentral:tRNA from 1 species
GUUACUUUGGCAGAUUAGUGCAAUUGAUUUAGGAUCUUUUUAUGUGGGUUUAUUCCAUAGGUAAUA